UAACAUGUUCUUUCUCUCCUUCCUCUCCAUAUCUCAUCCUCCCUUCACCAUCACCAUUUCACACAAAAAUACCCCUCUCACCAUUGUCCCAUCCUCACCAUCUCACUGUUAUCAUCUCACCAUUCCUUCUUCUUUCUUCCUCUCCUUAAACAACCGCCGACAACGGUGAAAAUUGGAAGGAAGCUGCUAAGAGAGAAGCUAUACGUGGUUCUGACAAGGGAAUAGCUUCAGACUUUUGCUUACCAUGUCCGAGGCAUCUUCAUAUCAAUGGAAAAGUGUUAUUCAGCUAUAUGUUCUUAAUGUGCAAGGUAUGUGCAAGAAACCAGGACCAUCAAUUAUAAAACUGGGACUUGGAGAAUUAAACGAAUGGUUUGUCUUUGAAGGCAUAGUAUGAUGAUUAUCAUGUAUUUCUACUUCUUCAGGAUUAUAUUGUAGAUUGGAUAUAAUUAAAGUGAGUUUUUAUUUUCUACUUUAUUUUUUUGUUGAUAGAUUCAUUGUAUUUUCUACAUUGGUCUAUAGUUUUACUUUAAUUUGUUUGACUAUUUUUAGGGUAAUAUCUCAAUAUCCACACGGGGGCUUACCAUAACCCUGCUUUUAGUACUUUCUUCAAUUAUUCCUUAACUAAGCCCCAAAAAUAUGGGGGGCUGAACCACAAACACUUACCAUAACCCUGUCUUUUUUUUAACAUUUAAAAGCCGGUACUUCCAAGUUCAACUAUCAAUGUUGUUUUUCCGAAAGUUUUUGAUAACCUUUAGGAAACAUAAGGAGAUUGGUAGAACAUCUUCAAACCAAUGGAUAUUGCAUUGAACUAAAUGCUGUGUUUUGAAGUUAUGUAAUAUUUUA